rnacentral:rRNA from 1 species
GACGAACGCUGGCGGCGUGCUUAACACAUGCAAGUCGAACGGAAAGGCCCUGCUUUUGUGGGGUGCUCGAGUGGCGAACGGGUGAGUAACACGUGAGUAACCUGCCCUUGACUUUGGGAUAACUUCAGGAAACUGGGGCUAAUACCGGAUAGGAGCUCCUGCUGCAUGGUGGGGGUUGGAAAGUUUCGGCGGUUGGGGAUGGACUCGCGGCUUAUCAGCUUGUUGGUGGGGUAGUGGCUUACCAAGGCUUUGACGGGUAGCCGGCCUGAGAGGGUGACCGGCCACAUUGGGACUGAGAUACGGCCCAGACGCCUACGGGAGGCAGCAGUGGGGAAUAUUGCACAAUGGGCGGAAGCCUGAUGCAGCAACGCCGCGUGCGGGAUGACGGCCUUCGGGUGGUAAACCGCUUUCGCCUGUGACGAAGCGUGAGUGACGGUAAUGGGUAAAGAAGCAACGGCUAACUACGUG